GACGAACGCUGGCGGCGUGCUUAACUCAUGCAAGUCGAACGGAAAGGCCCCUUUGGGGGUACUCGAGUGGCGAACGGGUGAGUAACACGUGAGUAACCUGCCCUUGACUUCGGGAUAACUUCAGGAAACUGGGGCUAAUACCGGAUAGGAAUCCUUGCUGCAUGGUGGGGGUUGGAAAGCUUCGGCGGUUUUGGAUGGACUCGCGGCUUAUCAGCUUGUUGGUGGGGUAGUGGCUUACCAAGGCUUUGACGGGUAGCCGGCCUGAGAGGGCGACCGGCCACAUUGGGACUGAGAUACGGCCCAGACUCCUACGGGAGGCAGCAGUGGGGAAUAUUGCACAAUGGGCGGAAGCCUGAUGCAGCAACGCCGCGUGCGGGAUGACGGCCUUCGGGUUGUAAACCGCUUUCAGCAGGGGCGAAGCUUGUGGUGACGGUACCUGCAGAAGAAGCACCGGCUAACUACGUG
rnacentral:rRNA from 1 species